UCUUUAGCGAGGGGCCAGGAUGUAGGGUAGGAAGUAAGCCAGACUGCGGUGUCUUUACUGACGAACAGGGCCUGUCCCGAACAUCGGGAAACGGCAUACGGAGGCCAAUUAGGGAGGGUAAGCAAGCACAUCAUUGUAAAGCCCGUAACCAAAAAUCCCUUUUUGGUAGAUGCCGCAGAGGACAAAGCGGGAGCUUUGGGC
rfam:Cecembia lonarensis LW9 contig000011, whole genome shotgun sequence.